AUGAUGGAUUUCAAUGCUGCAAUCAGUCAAUUAGCCUUGGUAGAAAUUCCUUUGAAGGGAAGAAGUUUUACUUGGAGUAACAUGCAGCAAGCCCCUCUGUUAGAAAAAAUUGAUUGGGUAUUCACAUCUGAAAACUGGUCCUCUCAUUAUCCAAAUACCUUGUCCUUUCCCUUGGCCAAGCCUAUUUCUGACCAUUGCCCAUUUGUGAUCCAAAUUGGUACUUCUAUCCCUAAAGCUAAAGUAUUCAGGUUUGAGAAUUUUUGGCUUCAACUUCCAGAUUUUCAAGAAGUAGUAAAGUCCAGCUGGCACCAACCCAUUCAGGCCAAUAAUAGUGCCAAACUCAUUACUGCAAAGUUUAAAAGGCUUAGGAAAAGUCUAAAAAUUUGGAGUAAGAGCAUUUCCAACCUUGCACUCAGCAUUCAGGCCACAAAUAGUGUAAUCUUGAUGUGGGAUUAUUUUGAGGAGUUUAGAUUGCUCUCAGUUAUGGAGCAAAAUGGCAGAGAUAUCUUGAAAGAGCAUCUCUUGAUGUUGUUGUCCUUUCAAAGCAUUUACUGGAGGCAGAGAGCAACAAUUAGAUGGGUGAAGUUUGGAGAUGAGAAUUCAAAAUUCUUUCAGGCUAAGGCUACCAUUAAAUACAGACAUAACUUCAUUCAAUCUCUUAUUAAUGAUCAGGGGGUUGAAGUAACUGAGCACCAUGCUAAGGCUGCAGUUCUUUGGUCAGCUUUCAAAAAAAGAUUGGGUAAUUCAAGCGAGAUGUCUGACCAUCUUAAUCUAAUAAGACUUAUUCACAGAGUUGAAGGUUUAGAGGAUUUAGAUGCUCCUUUCUCAAAAUAG
rnacentral:rRNA from 1 species